GACGGAGGAUGCAAGCGUUAUCCGGAAUUAUUGGGCGUAAAGCGUCCGCAGGUGGCCUAUCAAGUCUGCUGUCAAAGACCGGGGCUUAACCCCAGAAAGGCAGUGGAAACUGAAAGGCUAGAGGAUGGUAGGGGCAGAGGGAAUUCCCAGUGUAGCGGUGAAAUGCGUAGAGAUUGGGAAGAACACCGGUGGCGAAAGCGCUCUGCUAGGCCGCAACUGACACUCAUGGACGAAAGCUAGGGGAGCGAAUGGG
rnacentral:rRNA from 1 species